rnacentral:rRNA from 1 species
CUUCGGGUGAGUGGCAGACGGGUGAGUAACGCGUGGGAACCUUCCCAAUGGUACGGAAUAACUCCGGGAAACCGGUGCUAAUACCGUAUAAGCCCCUCGGGGGAAAGAUUUAUCGCCAUUGGAUGGGCCCGCGUCGGAUUAGCUAGUUGGUAAGGUAAUGGCUUACCAAGGCUACGAUCCGUAGCUGGUCUGAGAGGAUGAUCAGCCACACUGGGACUGAGACACGGCCCAGACUCCUACGGGAGGCAGCAGUAGGGAAUCUUGGACAAUGGGCGAAAGCCUGAUCCAGCCAUGCCGCGUGAGUGAAGAAGGCCUUAGGG